GAACAAAACAAAAGCAGAAUGUGGGAGAAAAUGACAAAUCAUAACCACAUCACCAAAAAAUUUACAUAUGCUAGAAGUUACUUCCUUGUUAGACAUAAGGAGUGAAAAGAAGACAACUCUAAAACAUCUUGAAUAAAAAUGAACUAAACAACAAAGGGCUAUUGGAAACAAAAUAUAAUCAAAAUAUGGCUAAAUAAACUGCUGGUGCUGAAAUGAUGAUCAUAAUGUCAUAAUAAAUGGAAAAAGAAAGGUUUUUUCCCCCAUUAGAGAUAUUUCUUAUGUUGAGUGUAAAUCCUGACAUGAUACACAUCUACUGGCUAAAGAAAUUAGCUACACCUCAUGAACAGAUUAAUAAUAAGAAAGCCUAAGAUCCUCUGUUCCAGUAGCCCUACAGCUAAGAUCCUGUAGGACCUCCUGCUUUCUAAACUGAUGUUGGCCAACCAGAUAUCAAGGUGCUCAACAAACCUCAUAAGAAGGCAGGAGAGGUAUCUCCCAAAAGAUUCAACAAAAAGGAAAGUGAAAAGCUCAAAAUAAAAAUAUCUGGACUGAAAGAAAAAGUUGAAAAGUGAAGGCAUCAGUGAUGCCAGUGGUAGAGAACUCAGAGCUGUGAUCUUCAAACUGGAAAAAGUGGCUUAAACAGAUCCUAGAAACGCCAGAGAUCUUCAUGUAUUAUUAAUUCU